rnacentral:rRNA from 1 species
GGGUUCGAUCAUACCAGCACUAAUGCACCGGA